GGACCUGCUGGGCAACCUCCUGGUCAUCCUCUCCGUCUACCGCAACAAGAAGCUGAGGAACGCGGGUGAUCCUUGGACUUCUUUUUGUGCCCCGAAAGACAAUGGGUAGCCCGACAAAUAUUUGACUCAAGGGAGAUAACUUGUAGAAGAUCAAGUUGUAGCACAAAUUCAGGGUUCUGAUGAAAACUGAGAUGUUGAUGGCAAUGAACGUUGUUUCAGACAUGAAUAACUUCCAGUAUUAAAAAUGCUCUUCUCCUGAUUCCUUUUUCACUUGCCCAUUCAGCAUAUCCCACUACUGGGAAUCUCUGCAAUGCCUGGAAUUUGUUGUGCUUCUGUUCAUCAUACAUUUGCACUUUUUCUUUGGACAAUCCAUACCCACUGGGUAUUACGCUGAAGAUGGCAUGAAGAUGACCACUCCUGUAUUGAAGAAUAACUUUGCACUAUCCUUGUUAAAUUGUUUGCUGCUGAAGAUUUUUUUUUCUUUUUUCUUUUUUCCCUGCAUUUUUCCAUGGAGGGUAGAUCUGUCAGGUUUUGUCUGAAAGGCUCUUGUUUCAGAGUUGUUAUUGACUUGGGUCUCUCCCUUAUGGGAUCCAUUACACAUCCUGUGAAAGCUGUUUUUUAUGCACUCUGUAAUAAUAGAAUACUGAGAUGCUGCACUGUUCUUAGGGGCAUUACGAAUACUAGCAUUUUAAAAGAAGGUUGGGUGCUGCUUUUGCAAUCAUUCCUUUAAGAAUUUCUGGUGCAUACUUAGUGACAAUCUAGGGGAGAUUACACAGUUGUACCAAGCUUGCACAUGCACCUUGUUAAUACUGCUUGCAGCAAUCAUUAUCUAAAAUGUGCCCUAAAGAUGUGGCUGAAUCUGACAAACAUGUAAAUGCAGAAGUAUGAAUGGAAAAAAAAGAAGCAAAUAAGCUAAGUUGAAGCAACCUAGUGGACACAGAAUUUGCAGUCUGCUUGUUGUCGAUGCUUGUUUUGUACUGGGGUAUCCUAUUCGUCACAAUAGUGAUGCGUCCCUUCAUUGUAAGCUUUUCUAGUGGGUCUUCUCUUUUACUUUUCUCAAGCUAUUGGAGUGACAGGGCUUUGCUACCAGAAUGCUUACUGGAGUUCAGCUGCCUGAGCACAUCUUUCCUGUACGGAGAUAACUUCACAGACUACCACCAGAGCAGUGAAUUGAUAUCUUUUGCUUAUAUUCAGAUAUUCAUAUUAUCUCCUGUCCCCAUAUUUUCUCAGAAAACUCUCUUGAUCAGAUUCAAAUUUCACAGAGAUUUCACCUGUUUCUGCCUUUGGAAUUGCUGACCAUUCCUUGUGAUGACUGGACAGAAUGUUUGCUUACUUUACUCAAAAACAUGAA